UACCAGCACCCCGAGUGGUCGGGACGAUUAUUGGGCCUAAAGCAUCCGUAGCCGGUUCUACAAGUCUUCCGUUAAAUCCACCUGCUCAACAGAUGGGCUGCGGAGGAUACUAUAGAGCUAGGAGGCGGGAGAGGCAAGCGGUACUCGAUGGGUAGGGGUAAAAUCCGUUGAUCCAUUGAAGACCACCAGUGGCGAAGGCGGCUUGCCAGAACGCGCUCGACGGUGAGGGAUGAAAGCUGGGGGAGCAAACCGG
rnacentral:rRNA from 1 species